CUGCUGGCUGGAGAGGCAGGGGGUGGGGAACCGCGUGGGGGUGAAGCGCUGCGCGGACGACACCAUGCACAUCCUGGUGGACGGCGAGGACAUGGGGCCGGCCACCACCGGCGUGGCCAAGGUAAAUCCUUGCUGGGACCCCCAACCGCCCAAUGGUGCUGGGGGGCAAAGCCCACGUGAGCCCCGCUGGGUAGGGGUCGGAGCCUCCCCACUUCCAGGCCCCCACCCCAGCAGCCAGCGUCCACCAAGGGGGCUGCCUUUGGGGGGACCCGUGAUGUCAUGGGCGUCGGUCUGCCUCUUCCUGUCGGGGCUGGGUAGUGAUGUCAUGGGUGUUGGUCUGCCCUUUGAUGAUGUCAUCGGGGGGCAUAGGUCCCACCUUUUCCUGUCUGGGAGCAGAUGUGAUGUGAUGUCAUGCGAGGGUUAGGGCCCGCCUCUUCCUGUUUGGGGGGAAUAUGAUGUGAUGUCACAGGAAAUGGCUGCCCCAUGAGCUCCCAGAGUGUCCCCCAUCACUUCCUUCCCACAACAGGACAUCUCUGUCCCUGCCAUGUCCAGCGCUGAGGGGUUCUACCUCGUUGGAGUGUGGGAUAAACCCAACAGUCCCAGCCCCCCCUGCUCUAACCACUAGACCCCAU